UGGCUCAGAUGAUAAAGCACCUGCCUACAAUGCAGGAGACCCGGGGUUCAAUCCCUG
rnacentral:tRNA from 1 species